rnacentral:tRNA from 1 species
GUUUCCGUAGUGUAGUGGUUAUCACGUGGGUUUUACACACCCAAGGUCCCCGGUUCGAGCCCGGGCGGAAACA